rnacentral:ncRNA from 1 species
UACCUGGUUGAUUCUGCCAGUAGUCAUAUGCUUGUCUCAAAGAUUAAGCCAUGCAUGUCUAAGUAUAAGCAAUUUGUACGGUGAAACUGCGAAUGGCUCAUUAAAUCAGUUAUCGUUUAUUUGAUAGUACCUUACUACAUGGAUACCGUGGUAAUUCUAGAGCUAAUACAUGCUAAAACCUCGACUUCGGAAGGGGUGUAUUUAUUAGAUAAAAAACCAAUGCCCCUGGGGGCCCUUUGAGGUUUCGUAAUAACUUGUCGAAUCGGAUGGGCGUUGCGCUGGCAGAUGGUCCUUCAAAAUUUCGCCCCUAUCACUUUGCAAGGUAGGAUAGGCGACGACCAGGUGGCUACGGGUCGCCGGCGAAAGUAAGGUCACGAUCCAGACAGAGAAGCGAGGAAAGGGGAAAGAUAUCCCGGAGAAGGGGGGGGGGGGGGAGAGGACCAAACCCGAAGGCGGGAGAGGAGUGAGAGAGAAACUAGAGACAGAGCGUUUUGAGCGUCUGGUGGAUUGAGACGAAGACGAUAUUAGUGCCCUUACGGAGGCAGCAUUGAGCG